UGGGGAAUAUUGCACAAUGGGCGCAAGCCUGAUGCAGCCAUGCCGCGUGUGUGAAGAAGGCCUUCGGGUUGUAAAGCACUUUCAGCGAGGAGGAAGGGUAGUGUGUUACUAGCACAUUGCAUUGACGUUACUCGCAGAAGAAGCACCGGCUAACUCCGUGCCAGCAGCCGCGGUAAUACGGAGGGUGCAAGCGUUAAUCGGAAUUACUGGGCGUAAAGCGCACGCAGGCGGUUUGUUAAGUCAGAUGUGAAAUCCCCGCGCUUAACGUGGGAACUGCAUUUGAAACUGGCAAGCUAGAGUCUUGUAGAGGUGGGUAGAAUUCCAGGUGUAGCGGUGAAAUGCGUAGAGAUCUGGAGGAAUACCGGUGGCGAAGGCGGCCCCCUGGACAAAGACUGACGCUCAGGUGCGAAAGCGUGGGGAGCAAACA
rnacentral:rRNA from 1 species